AACGAACGCUGGCGGCAGGCUUAACACAUGCAAGUCGAGCGCGUAGCAAUACGAGCGGCAGACGGGUGAGUAACGCGUGGGAAUCUACCCAACUCUACGGAAUAACUCAGGGAAACUUGUGCUAAUACCGUAUACGCCCUUCGGGGGAAGGAUUUAUCGGAGUUGGAUGAGCCCGCGUUGGAUUAGCUAGUUGGUGGGGU
rnacentral:rRNA from 1 species